rnacentral:rRNA from 1 species
GACAUAAAGGUUGAAACUCAAUUGAAUUGACGGGAGGGCGUAAAGAGCUCGUAGGCGGUUUGUCGCGUCGUCUGUGAAAACCAGCAGCUCAACUGUUGGCUUGCAGGCGAUACGGGCAGACUUGAGUAUUUCAGGGGAGACUGGAAUUCCUGGUGUAGCGGUGAAAUGCGCAGAUAUCAGGAGGAACACCGGUGGCGAAGGCGGGUCUCUGGGAAAUAACUGACGCUGAGGAGCGAAAGCGUGGGUAGCGAACAGGAUUAGAUACCCUGGUAGUCCACGCCGUAAACGGUGGGCGCUAGGUGUGGGUUUCCUUCCACGGGAUCCGUGCCGUAGCUAACGCAUUAAGCGCCCCGCCUGGGGAGUACGGCCGCAAGGCUAAAACUCAAAUGAAUUUGACGGGA